CAUAAAUCGAGGAACCAUUGUCCCAAUACCUAAUAAUUUUAUUGAUUGGCAAACGAGGCUCAGAAAUAAUUGACGAAUCCACCCCAUAGAAAUGCUGUUGCCAUUUUAUAAGGGGUUUCUACUUUUGUACAGAACAAAUUGGCCAAUAUUGUUUUAGUUUUUUUUUUGUAGUCGCUUUCAUUUAUUGAAGGGUUGUUCUGCGUUUAAAGGAAACAAAAGAAAAAAUGGCUAGGCGGUUUUCACAACUGUGCUUGUCAUCGCCAACUGAGGGAUGGGAUUAAAAUUUAGUGGAGAAACUCUCUCGUUUUUUAAUUGGAAAGAAUGCAAACGAAAAUCGCGGCAGAUGUUUAACAUGUGCUCUAGGCCGGUACUUUAACAUGUUUUUUUGUUUUGUGGAGGAGUCCCAAUGCAGUAGUUGAGGUUGGAGUAAUCAAUACCAAAGUGUUGUUGGACCCUCGGAAAUAUCAUGGAAAUUAAGAGCCUUAUAAUGAGUUGACAAUUAUUUGAAUAUUUUGUUUGGUUUUUGUGUACCCCCUAUUCUAUUUUUAAGGAGAAGAAUUUCCUAGAAUUGUUGAUCUCACGUAACCUCAA